rnacentral:rRNA from 1 species
AUUGAACGCUGGCGGCAGGCCUAACACAUGCAAGUCGAACGGUAACAGGAAGCAGCUUGCUGCUUUGCUGACGAGUGGCGGACGGGUGAGUAAUGUCUGGGAAACUGCCUGAUGGAGGGGGAUAACUACUGGAAACGGUAGCUAAUACCGCAUAACGUCGCAAGACCAAAGAGGGGGACCUUCGGGCCUCUUGCCAGCGGCUGCGCCCAGAUGGGAUUAGCUAGUAGGUGGGGUAACGGCUCACCGAGGCGACGAUCCCUAGCUGGUCUGAGAGGAUGACCAGCCACACUGGAACUGAGACACGGUCCAGACUCCUACGGGAGGCAGCAGUGGGGAAUAUUGCACAAUGGGCGCAAGCCUGAUGCAGCCAUGCCGCGUGUAUGAAGAAGGCCUUCGGGUUGUAAAGUACUUUCAGCGGGGAGGAAGAGAGUAAAGUUAAUACCUUUGCUCAUUGACGUUACCCGCAGAAGAAGCACCGGCUAACUCCGUG